AAUAUUAUUAUUAUUAUGAAAUUUUUGAAUUACAAAGGUUAAAGUAAUCGUACUAUUAUUUAGUCUUAGUCCAGACAAUUUGUAACAUUUUAAAUCAACGUAUCCAGGAGAAGGGGUAGAUAAAGUGUUUAAUUUUUUACUUAUGAACUUGCCUAAACCCUCGGCUCCCUUUAUCCAGAUUUUGUUUGUGUGCGAGUUUUGACU